AUGCUUCACUAAAUUUGGCCAUAGCUCUUUUGAUCUCUCUCUCCUGUCACACAUUUCACUUAUAGGGUUCCUAACUUUCUAUUAUUGUUUGGGUGCACUUUAAUAUCCAGAGAGAUUGAACCCCAUAAAUUGGCAUCCAGUAAGAUUCAAUAAUUGAGGGUCGAGGACCAAACCCUAAAUUCUCCUUUUUAUCCCUUUGCGCGGUAACAAAAACCCAAAUUGUUGAAUUGGUUAGAUUUUUCCAUGUUCCCUUAAUCUGUCCUCUGCAAUUAAAAAAUGGGUUCUUUUAGACACCUGCUUGUUAAAAUUCCUAAAUGAAUGGUUUUUAAAAAAAAUAAUUUUGCUUCCGUCAUUUCUUGCUAUCAAAUCGAAACAUUAAAAUGGUCAUACCCCAUUUGAUGAUUUCCCUUUCUGGGUGAUGGGUUUUUCUGGAAUUUUGAUUUGAUUAAUUGUGUUUUACACACUGGUUUAUUCUGUGUAAAGGAGGGAAAAGGGUGGUAAUCCUGUCGGCGUGGUGAUUAGGUUAAAUUUCAGUUUUUGGAGUUGGGUAGAUAAAGAGAGAGUAAUAGAAGGGGAAAAAACAGAAAAAAUGGCAAGGGAGAAGAUAAAAAUUAAGAAAAUUGAUAAUACAACAGCUAGACAAGUGACAUUUUCUAAAAGGAGAAGAGGAUUGUUCAAGAAGGCUGAGGAGCUUAGCAUUUUGUGUGAUGCUGAUGUUGCUCUUAUUAUCUUUUCUGCUACUGGAAAACUCUUUGAGUAUUCCAACAUCAGUAUGAACACCAUACUUGAAAGACAUAAGUUGCACUCGAAGAACUUAGAGAAGCUGGAGCAACCCUCUUUAAGGUUACAGCUUGUUGAAAAUGGCAACUACACUAUGUUGAAUGAAGAGAUAGCGAAUAAAAGCCAACAGCUAAGACAUAUGCGCGGGGAGGAGCUUCAGGGAUUAAGUAUAGAAGAGUUGCAAGAGCUGGAAAAGUCCCUUGAGUUUGGAUUAAAACAAAUAAUUGAUAAAAAGGGUGAAAAGAUUACUAAUGAAAUUAACUCGCUCAAGCAAAAGGGUAUAGAAUUGACGGAGGAAAAUGAGUGGCUAAGACAGCAAGUGCUGGAAGUCUCUAAGGGGAUACAACAAUCUGCAGAUUCUGAGAAUUUAUGUUAUGAAGACGGCCAGUCAUCUGAGUCAGUCAGUAAUGGAAGUAGUUCUGGUCCUUCACAGGAUAACGAUGAAAGCUCAGAUACUUAUCUCAAGUUAGGGCCAGGCGUUGAUAUUUUUCAUUCAGCUCGUGCAUAACGACCCACACAGAUGUUUCAAAACCCAAAGAUUGUCCGUUUAAUGAGGACUGAUUGGCAUGGUCUGGCUAGAUGAAGAGACCAUAGGAGAUCACUUGCAAUCUUGUAUCUAUUGUUAACCUAUGCUCCUUCUGUGUUCGUUACCCGUAUAACUGUAAUGUUCUAGUAAUGUAUUAUCCUUUUGUACCCUUUAGCCAAAUAAGAAAUGUAAUGUUAUGGAGCUACUACUAAAAUGAUAAGUAAUAUGCUAUCAAUAGAAGCUAUUGCGUUUUCUUA